rnacentral:rRNA from 1 species
UACGAAGGGGGCUAGCGUUGCUCGGAAUCACUGGGCGUAAAGGGUGCGUAGGUGGCGCCGUAAGUGGGGUGUGAAAUUUCGGAGCUUAACUCCGAAACUGCAUUCCAUACUGCGGUGCUUGAGGACUGGAGAGGAGACUGGAAUUCAUGGUGUAGCAGUGAAAUGCGUAGAGAUCAUGAGGAAGACCAGUGGCGAAGGCGGGUCUCUGGACAGUUCCUGACACUGAGGCACGAAGGUCAGGGGAGCAAACGGG